GGGCAGGGGGCGGCCGGGAGCCCCGGCGGCCGUGGGCGUUGUGGCGGUAGCGCCCCUGCCCGCCCUCCCCCGUCCCGGGGCGAGCGGCGCUGGAGGCGGCAGAUGGAGUGGGGUUGUGGCGGGUCUCCUGCCCUCUAACAAAAGCUCACCCGCAGUGAAUCAAAAUCAAGGUGAAACCUCUUCUCAUGCAACUUGUACCUGUUGCCACUUGUCUGCUCUCUGUGCCUCCCAGUGAAGAGAAAAUCUUCAUCUUUUUUGCAGCCGUGCAGGAAAUGAAAAUCCAAUAGCAGAAGAUCUGAAGAGGAGAGAUCAGAAUCUGGUCACUGCUUUCCCUCUCAAAGGAACUUUCAUGAAAGCAUUAUAUGAAAGUCGGCAUUAAGCAUGAUCUUGAACUAGUAGGAUGCACUGAUAAAAGAAUCCAGCUAUCUAAAAAGGGUCAACUUGGUCAUUAUUGCCUGGUAGGUAUAUAGGCAAAAGUGCUGACCAACCUUUGAAAUGAUAAUAAGUUUCUUUUGUCAUGGACAAAGCUUUUCACCUUAAAUAGACAGGAAGUCUUCUAACACAGUAGAAUUUUAAUAAAGCUCAAUCUGGAGCAAAACCAACUCAAAAUUAUUUCUGUUGCUUUUACUAUAAAUGAAGCAAAUGCUUAAAAUAUUUUUAAAAGCUGUCCAGAAAAAAAUAAGCCUUUUUAACAUCAAGAUGGAAGCAGGGGGAAUGCUCUCCUUCCUUUCUGUGUACACCCUUCAUUUCCAUUGUAUUUAUUUUAUCACUCAAUAUAUGGUGGAGAUUGUAAGCUGAAAGGGGAAAUGAAAGCACUAAGAAAAAAAAAUAAACAAGUUUGCAAAAACACUCACUAAAUAUAGCUGUAGGAGCUAAAGGAUUCAAGUGGAAUUUCAGUAUUCACCAAAAGACUGAAAAGACUGAGAUUUUCAAAACCUUACAUGUUUUUCUACCAAUUAUUUGCUCAGUUCUGGUUUUUAACUGAUUCAGCCAGAACUUCAUCAAAUUACAUUAGUUUUAGAAGUUUAGAGACUUCAUCUUCUGCCCAGUUGUUAUCAAGAGGAUUUCUUAAUAUCAAAUAUCUAUAUUUCUUAAUAGAAAAGACUUUGUCUGUAGUCUAUAUCUAAAGACUAGUGACAGAAAAAGAAAAGCUAUGGCAUGACCAUAACUGAAUAAACUCACUGUGUUCAUAGACCACAUUGUGAAGAUCUACUCUUUGUUGCUAGGUAAGUUAUAUCUCUAUUUACAGCUUUUUCAAAAGGCUGAAUAGUCAGGGACAUUUUGUAAUUUGAGAUGGAGUCCUAAGCUCUAGUGAGAGAGAUGUGCUCUUCCUGGACUGCACAAAAUAGAGCAGUUACACAAGGUGGUAUAGAGGAGAGGGGAAUUUUAAGCAAUACUGAUCAUUCAAACAGAAACUACAUUAAAAAGACAGAUACAUUCAGCCCACCCUUCUACAAAAACACAUCUGUUCCCACCGCUAGCUCCACAAUUAACACAUAGACUGAUUCAACACUAAGAAUUAUAAAUUGCUGUAUUCUCUCAGUUCCAAUGAAGUGAUGAAGAAAAUGGGCACUUUUGGACAUCAAAGGUGUUAAACGAAAUGACACCUUAGAAGUGUUUACUUUCCCCAAAUCAAAGUCAGCUGCUUUCCUGAUGCAUAAUAAGUUUUUAACUAGGAUGCCAAAUAACACUAGAAGAAAAAUUCAAAAUUAUACUGCAAUAGGAGGAGAUUCAGUUCAAACUAUACUUUAUAUUCUCAUUUAUGACAUGAGAAAUCAGGAUUUAUUUGAAAUGUAGUGCUCAUUCACAGCUUUGCCACAGAUAAGGAGAAAAGGCAACAAAAAUUGUGACUCAGAAUGAAAUCCAGCCACACUGCAGUCAGUGGCAAAACUCUUAGAGAUCUUAGUGUGAUUUUGUCUCAAGUAUUUUCUUGGUUCCUGAGGGAGGGGCAAUUAAAAUAAUAAUAAAGACAAAGAGAAAAUCUUCAGUGCCAUAACUUGCCUGCAGGCUGUAGCUUUUAGAGCAUAUUUUCACAACAGCUGAAGCAGGAUCUUUAGGGUAGUGCCAUCUGAAAACCAGAGACGUUUAAUUUGUGUAAACAAAAAAUAGAUUACAUAGAAGUAGGUAUUACUAAGCUGAGAGAAGAUGCACAGCAAUCCAGCUGUAUUGGACCCAAAACAGAUCUUCCCUCAGUCUGUGCUGAGCUGUGUGCAGACCCCAGCACCCUCUGAAUUAAAAUGCACCUCUGUACAACACAGCCUUGCAGGGAGCCAGCGUGCCUUUCGUUGGCUUGCAGGGUAUGGAUGCAGAGCUGAGGUGUGCUUCAGAUUGGUUUUCCCCAUGUGCUGCAGGCACCACCUCUCUCCACAGCAGCCAAGUCAUGUCUCAAGCCUUUCUCCAGAGCAGGUGAUGUGGAGUUUUGAGUCCAUUCCCAUCCUGUGACUUUAAAGGAACAAAAUGCAGAUGUCUGCUACUCAAUUCAAGUCUGAAAUAGACUUUUUGUAUUUAAACUGCCAUUUGCAAGGGAAGCCAUAUUUUACUUUCCUGGUGCAAGAAUUAACAAAAAAAAAAUUGCCAAACCAAACCCAAUGUAUACUGCAUUGUCAUCUAAAUUAAUCCCCUGUCAUACAGUUAUAGUCUCAUUAAUUCUUCUUAGCCAAUCAAACCAAAACUUUCUCAGAAAUUGGCUGGCAGGAAAAGAUUCCCUUGCUCCAUCCAUAGCAAGCAGUGGGCUAGCUGCUUAAACAGAGCAUUGAGAACUUGUGUUAAAAUAGAAAUUGUGUCUGCAGUGAUUUAAAAGUAUAUUUUCUACAAGUCUUGUCCAUUUAUUCAACUCCACUAAAGGAGUAAGAAGUCAUUCUCUUGUUUAAAUUAUUUCCUUCUGUUUGGAAAAAUAGUUAUCCAAGGAGACUAAUGGGACUUGCACUUCCUACUGUCUGGCCAGAAGUAGGCAUUUAGUGUGUCUUCAUUAUAGAGAAAUCUUGGAGGGCAAAUUACAUGAUAUACAAAAAGUGGUGUACAGCCUUUGAUAAGAGAGCAAUCUUUCAACAGAAAGGAUUGCCCUGAAGUUGCUAUCCAGACAAAAUGAAGGU